CAACCGAUGAAUCAAAACAAAAACAAAGUGUUGUGAUCUGGUGGUCUUUUUCAUAAUCUUAUCGACCGUAUCUAAUAAUAUAAUAUAAAAUACCUACGCUUUUUGUUAUAUUACACGGUAUAAUAACGCGGUAUAUUACGCUUCGCUUUCGUGUACCUUUGAAGACGACCGGAACUUCAGUAGUUUAUCAACAUCGGUGUUCUAAUAUCUAUAAACGAUCAUAGCAACCGCCGAGUUCAUUGAGUUCAGUUUUACCAGUUUUACAGCAUUGAUAAAAAUGUAAUUACACAAAUGGUUAUAUGUGAUGAAUGUCCGGUUCGAAUGGAAGCAAGAACGAUUUGAUUUUUCAUUCGAAGUUCUCGGAAAGCAGUCAAUUUCAAAGAGGUCAACAGUGGAUAACUGCAAGAGGUUGUACGGAUUGAUUAUCAUGUCCAUACAUCAAAUGAACAGAGCAGAGCAGUGCGCUGCGUUUAGUUUCUAAACUAGUUGUGCCCCUACUGCUUGAUUAAGAUGCCUACUAUACAUGGGUAAUCACUACGCCAGGAUGGAUCCGGAUCAGGCACUACGUUGAGACCCAAAUUAACCUGACGUCAAAGACUCUGGCUAGAGAUAACUCGCAUACUAUGCGUUGCUAAUUUUGGAGUACUUCACAAAACAUGAUGUGUAAUAGAAGGUCCCUUCGUUUAUUAGUUACUCAGUACUGAAGAAAAUGGCAAGAAAUUGAAGGCCCGUCCUCAUGUACUAUUCGACGACUAUAACCUGAAGCGAUAUUGCAGUUAACGAAAAGAAAAACGUAGGAUUGAUUGUUAAAAAUUUGCUGUUUCGACUACCAUGAUGAAGCGAACUGUAGGGGUGAUCGGAACAAUAUGGUCCACCUAAGGAAAACGUCAUGUAAUGCAUAGAAAAAUAGCGAAGACUAACGUUUAAAUGCAAGUGACUUGUACUAUAAAA
rnacentral:lncRNA from 1 species